CUAUUUUUCGGGGCCACUUCCUGCCGAUCGGAACAGUUUGUAACCGCUUGCGGUUAUUGUUACUUCCCUCAGUUAUAUGCGGUGCUUCUUCCGCUGCUCCCGGUGGACAUAAAAAUUUCUACUCUUAGGUAUCGUUUGGUUCGGGGAUAAGCAAAAAGUGGUUAUUCCAGGGAUAGGUAUAAAUUGAGGUAUAAGCGGGGAUUAGAUCAAUUUUGUGUUUGGAUGAAAAUUAGGUUAUUCCUGGGAAUAAAAAAAUUAGUGUUUGGUUUGGUAAGCUGGAAUAAGACGGAUAGUGGAUUUUUAUAAAUAAAAAAUAAUGAUAUUACCUCUUAUUAUAAUUUAAAUUUAAAAUUUAAAAUUCAGAAUUUAAAAUUAUAAACUUUAAUUUUGAGGUUACAAAUUAUAAAUUUUAAAAAUUUAAAAUUUUAAAAUA
rnacentral:lncRNA from 1 species